rnacentral:lncRNA from 1 species
CCAGGACACAAACACUUUGGUGGAAAGCUGCUGCCAUCUCAUGUGACAAAAGCAGCGAGCUACAUGCAGCCAGGCUGUCUUCCUUCAGGAAUCUAUGGAGAAAAUUGCUGCCCCACAUCUCCAGCACUAAGUCCAGGACAGACCUGUGCUGGCAGUGCCAAAGGAACAACAACUAUCAGGUCUUCAGAUCUGCCAGAAGCUGUUAAGUCAGCCAAGCUGAAGAAGCAAGAGCAGCAUCUCCUGCUUGUUCAGAGUGAGCGGUCUGUCUACCAGAAGAUGGUUGCUGACUGCAAGACCACCUGUCAAGACCUGCAGUUGUCUCUGGGGGGCCCUACUGAACCAGCAAGUAAAGACAUCAGGAUGCAUUACAGCUUUGGUUUUGCUCAACAAGUGCACUAUCCUUCUGACCCUAUGCAGCCAGGUCCUAUCUACUUUUUAACUCCUCGCAAGGGUGGCUUGUUUGGUGUCUGAUGUGAAGGAAUACCACAACAAGUCAACUACUUGAUUGAUGAAGGCAUGUCAUCCAGCAAAGGCAGCAGCACAGUCAUCAACUACAUGCACCAUUUCUUCACCAACUACGGAGUUGGGGAAACACGUGUGGACCUGAAUUGUGAUAACUGCAGUGGCCAAAACAAGAACAAGUUUGUGCUCUGGUAUUGUGCCUGGCGUACCAUGCACAACCUCCACCACAGUCUGGACCUUCACUUCCUGAUCACAGGCCACACCAAGUUUGCCCCCGACUGGUUCUUCAGCCUCAUCAAGCAGCGCUUCAGAAAGACCAGAGUGAACAAUUUGUCUGAGAUUGCUGGUGUUGUGAAGGACAGCACUGUGACAGGAGUCAACAUCCCACAGCUGGUUGGACUGGAGGACGGUACGGUGCUGGUGGAAAGCUAUGGCUGGCAACAACACCUGACUCCGUACUUCAGGCCGCUGCCACAGAUCAAGCAGUACCAGCACUUCAGAUGAAUAUCAUUUUCAUGGCAUUGAGAGCGACCAGACUCUCACUCUGACAGCGGGGAGAGUCAUUCAGGGGAACCAGACCCAGAGACGUCCAAACCAGCGAGACGACACCAAUGUGGAACUACUGUGUGGAAGUUUUAUCCGAUCACAACACCUGAAAUCACACAAGAGAACACACACAGGAGAAAAGCCUUACCACUGUUCCCAGUCUGGAACGUGUUUUACUCGGUUAGAGAACCUGAAAAGUCAUAAGCAAAUACACUCUGGAGAGAAGCCUUACCACGGCUCCAAAUGUCUAAUGGCUUUUACAUGGUUAGCGAACAUGAAAACGCACCAGAGGACACACACAGGAGAGAAGCCUUACCAUUGUUCCCAUUGUGGAAAUAAAUGUAGUCAUUUAGUGAGCCUGAAAAUGCAUG